GUGAAGCUGCCAGCAUGAUCU
rnacentral:miRNA from 1 species